rnacentral:rRNA from 1 species
GAUGAACGCUGACAGAAUGCUUAACACAUGCAAGUCGAUGGGGAAGUGGUGCUUGCACCAUGGUAACCAUGGCGGACGGGUGAGUAACGCGUACGGAACUUGCCUGCGGGACUGGGAUAACAGCAGGAAACUGCUGAUAAUACCGGAUAAGGUCAUUAAGCUGCAUAGCUUAGUGAUGAAAGGAGACGCCUGCGGAGAGCCUUGCGCCCUAUUAGCUAGUUGGAGGGGUAACGGCCCACCAAGGCGAAGAUAGGUAGCCGGCCUGAGAGGGUGGACGGCCACAAGGGGACUGAGAUACGGCCCUUACUCCUACGGGAGGCAGCAGUGGGGAAUAUUGGACAAUGGGGGCAACCCUGAUCCAGCAAUUCUGUGUGCACGAAGACGGUUUUCGGAUUGUAAAGUGCUUUCAGCAGGGAAGAAGGAAGUGACGGUACCUGCAGAAGAAGCGACGGCUAAAUACGUG